rnacentral:misc_RNA from 1 species
GACGCCGAAGGUGGGGCUGAUGACUGGGGUGAAGUCGUAACAAGGUAGCCGUACCGGAAGGUGCGGCUGGAUCACCUCCUAACAGGGAGACAAAAACUGAUCAUUAUGUCUGAGUAAAAUAUCCUUAGACAAUGGUCCUGUCACCUUAGGUCGAUCGGUACCUCAAAUUUAUUGUUAAAUCAAACUCCAUCAAAAGAUUUUGAUUUAUUCAAUUGGUUUUAGUUCCUAAACUUUGUCUAGGUCACACCCCGCAAGGGUUACUCCUGGGCCAUUAGCUCAGGUGGUUAGAGCGCACCCCUGAUAAGGGUGAGGUCCCUGGUUCAAGUCCAGGAUGGCCCAUUCGGUGUUUGGGGGUUUAGCUCAGUUGGUAGAGCGCCUGCUUUGCAAGCAGGAUGUCAGCGGUUCGAGUCCGCUAACCUCCACUGACCGACCUCCUGCAGUGCCCAAGCGAUGAGUACCUUUGUGAGUAUGUGAUUUGGACUUUAUUCAGCUGAUUGGAACCUAGCCUCCUGUCAUUCCAUGCCGAAAUUAAUUAGGCAAGGUUGAAAGGAUGCUGGGCUCACUAGAAUUUAAAUUAAUUCUAGGGACGUUCGGCAGAACCUUGACAACUGCAUAGCUUAAGUCUGGAAAGAAUAAAGCAUCUCAUAGAUUUAUUAUUCUUUCGGAACAAAAUCCACUUCUUAUUUAUAUAAGUUGUGUGAUUUUUUUAUGAAAGAUUGAUAGUAAUUCUUGAGUCAAGAGCCAAGACUCUAUAUCGAUUUAACUAAUUAUUUGGUUGGAUUCUAUAGAGAUUAAUUGGUCAAGCUACAAAGGGCUC